GAAAACAAAAAAGGGAAAUCUCUUUCUCCAUUUCUUUUUAGCCCUUUUCUGUUCUUUUCGUUUCUUUCUUGUUUGCUUUGACUUUGAUGCUGGUUUGAGCUGUCGAGAACCAAUCCAGAUAAAAACC
rnacentral:ribozyme from 13 species